ACAUAGCCAAUGUCCAUGAUACUAGGUAAUAUCCACGAUUUUGUGAGACAAGGACGGAUAGAGAUUGAUCAUUCCUCCUUUAUCUAACUAACUGUCACUCUUGCAUAUAGCACUGAACAAAAAAUCACGAAUUCGUGGACAUAGCACGAAUGAGAACCACACAAUCAUGGACAUUACCUACAGGAUCAUGGACAUUGGCUACAUAAUUCAAUAUUCACUUUUUAUGAACAUAGAGGCGCUUCAAAAUAAAGUUAUAGCUAAAUCGCGAACACGUCCGCUCUCAGGCUUCUCUCUGCUUGUAUCAUGGUUUCCUGCAACACGGGAAAAACAGGAGCACUCGAAAGUGGGGAUUGACGUAAUCAAUUAGAAAACGCUAUGGCACUAGCAUGAUCUCCACUACAGGAGUUCCGAUCGUUUCGGCAACUUUUAUAAAUAUUUUAUAUUAUUUCGCUGAGCCAGCAAUACUGAAUUAUUGGAUAUGGAACAUGUGUUUGCAAAUACGAGCAAAAGAACGUAUUUUCCAGAACAUGCACUAUGGACCCACCCAAUGAGUGACAUCCGUUUGACCACGUCCCGAUUGACCACUAGCCACUUACAGGGGCUUGCACCUAGAAUUUUUCCACUAUUCAAGCGCUAUGAAUGGCUAGUGGUCAAUCAGGACGUGGUCAAACAGGUGUCAUCCCAGCACCACUUACAUAUAUAAAAUUACAUAGAACAUUCAAUGAUAUGAGAGGCUCAACUACAUACAAGUAAACGCUGAAGGCUCAACUAUAUAAUAAGUAAAAAGCUAACAUAUAAUCAGGAAACACGGUAGUGUCUCAAGUGUCAAGUCAACCGAGAACACUACCGUGUGACUUUACGCGAGUCGUCGAGGUUCGAGCAUCUGAAAUUAUUGAAUCUCAAUAAUGGCUAUACUGAUCAAGUUCUAAGUAGGCUUGAUCGAUAGCUUGAGUUCGACUUGCAUAAUAAAAGUAUUUUUAUUUUUCUGCUACGUGCCCUACAAGUAGAGAUACUGCUACACAAAGUCCGAUUUGGAAAUUUUUACUUUAAGAAACGUUAUUAUCGUCGCCUUUGUACGGCUGCAACGUCUGUCACGAGAUGUCAUUAUUAUUGACCUAGCGGAUUAUCAGACUGAUAAGUCAGGGUUAUUGUAGAAUCUAGCGAAUCAAUGUUCGCUGGCUCCUGCAGUGACCUUAAUUUAUUGGCCUGAUUUAUCCGCUGGAUCGAUAAAAUUGAUUGAUGUAAACACGGUAGUGUUUUUGGUUAGACCUCUCGGCCGAGUGGUAGCCAACGAUGUUGACGUUCGCGGCGAGUUUGACAAUUUGUAAUAAUUUCGGAGUGUAACUCAUGUUUGUGUCUAUACUUUGCAGGUAAGUUCUAUUUUUCAUUUUAUCAGAGAACAAAGAUAUUAUUCAAUCUUUUAUUCAAUCUUAUCUAUAUACUCUUAUUAUGUCACUCUAGAAAAAUCAGUUCCAAAUCGAAUAAAAA